rnacentral:lncRNA from 1 species
AAAAAUCUUCACAUUCCACUCAAAUCAAAUGCUGAGGCCCUAAACCCGAAUGGCAGACCAAAGGGAUCUCUCUCAUCAAAUGUCAGUGCUGAAGCCCUAAGCCCGCCGCCAACACCAUCAAAUCUCCCACGCCAGUAGAUUAUUAGUAAUGGAGUGAAGCAUUUUGCAGUAAAUUUUGGUUUCGAAAGUUUCGGCCGAGCCCCAGGAGUAGAAAAAAAUUGUGUUUCUCCCAGAAGCCCCUCUAAAUGUGAGGGUUCACUAUUAUGCUAUCUUACUCUUCAUGUAGUGUUACUUUCUUCAUUUUGUGGAACUCCUUAUUCAAGAGAUGUAGCUCUAAUUAGAUUCCUUUUUAGUGGUUGUGGUUGGGGAAGUUGGUGGAAUUAAGAAUGAAGGUAACAUUUGUUAUUUGGUAGCGUGGCGUGUUGCUUCCUUUUGAUAUUAUUGGCCUUCUGCUUUCAUUUUUUAAUUCUGCAUAUGUUCAUAAAUUUCUCUUCAAGGCAUGUCUGAGUAAUUUAAUUCUGUUACUACUAGGGAUAUUUAUCAUAGUUGUUUGUAAUUUUUGUAUUAAAUACUGUCAAAUAUGUGGAAAGAUGAUUUAUCAUGCCGUUUUUACGAUAUUAAAAAUAGGGGCAUCAAGUAUUAAUGUUAUUGCCGUUCAGGCCAAAAUUCAUCUUCCCUUUGCUCACCUGUAGUUGGUUCAAAAUCUUUCCACUAAGGUAUCUUUUGCUUAGUUUUCUAAGCAUUAUAUCUAUGCCCUUCAUCCAUGAAU